AAGUGCUGCUGGUCUAAAUUGUCUUAAAUAAUUCAUUUGGUCUUUUUUAGAUUUUGACGAAAACACACACACAUGAUCCGAGUCAGCUAAGCAUGCAUAAUGGAACAGAGUAAAUUAGAUACAGGUAAAAAUAAAUGCCUGUGUUGCUUUAGUAAUAUUUACGGUCAGUUGUAUUUUGCCUCUUGGUGAUUAGUUCUGAAACUUUACCUCAGAAUAAACACUGAACCCACUUACAGUCUCACACUCAUUUUUCUUUUUCUCUUACGCUAACAAAUGUCUCAUCAGAUAUCUCUUGCUCUUUUUUUAAAGUUGGACCAGAAAAAAAAAUAUCAUCUGACCAACUCCAAGCCUAAGCUAAGCUGAAAAAUCAAACUUAAACAGAUAGCUUAAGAUGUGGAGUCAUCCAUAUGUUUGACAAGGGGAAGAAAAAGGAAGUGAAAUAGA
rnacentral:lncRNA from 1 species